rnacentral:pre_miRNA from 1 species
GGCUUAUAGAAUUUUGAUUGUUGCUCUGAGAGUUAAUAUAAUUUCAAUGAUAACUGUCUAACAACCAUCAAAUUUCAAAGCG